rnacentral:rRNA from 1 species
UACGAAGGGGGCUAGCGUUGCUCGGAAUCACUGGGCGUAAAGCGCACGUAGGCGGCUUUCUAAGUCAGGGGUGAAAUCCUGGAGCUCAACUCCAGAACUGCCUUUGAUACUGGAGAGCUUGAGUCCGGGAGAGGUGAGUGGAACUCCGAGUGUAGAGGUGAAAUUCGUAGAUAUCAGGAGGAAUACCGGUGGCGAAAGCGACUCUCUGGACGGCAACUGACGCUGAGGCACGAAAGCGUGGGGAGCAAACAGG